AUAUAAACCAAAUUUUGAAAAGUAUUCAUAUAACCUCAUUCACAACUCCUUUAGUAUCAAAAAUAAUGUCAAUUUCAUUUUGACAAAAAUAGUAAAACAAAACCAAAUGCGAAUAUGAUUCUUCCCGAAUAUCCACAGUCCCAAAAAUAAAGAUAAAGCAGCUUUUGCAAUAGUUUUCAAACACCUAAUUCUUUCAAAGUGGCACCAAGCACCUAACUUAAAUUUCUGAUUCGGAAAGCAGCAUAUUAGGAAUUCCUUCAAAUAUGGGGUACACAUGUCCACAAUUCCCGCAAACCAUUUUCCCCUCUGUGAUUUCAGUCUAGUAGUUAAGGUUAGAACACAGCUGAACUUUUUAGAAUCAUACCUCUAGUAAAACAUUAUGAAGAGAUUUCAAUAGCACCUCAUCGGAAUCAUCAACAAGAUCGGGCUUUUCAUCAGGUAAACUAUAAUUACCCAACUAGUUAUGGUUAGAUUGGCUUAACAACAUUGGAUUAUGAAAAUUUUAAUCCGACACAACAUAUCAUUUCUUCAUCAAUCCAACUAUAAGAGCACAAACCUGUCUCGUUGUCUUUAACAAAGCAUUCCAAUCGAUUCUGGGCAUAAUUCCAAUAAGGAACUCCGGUUUCAAUUCUAAUUGUUGAAUAGCCAAUUUCGCAUCAACCACAUCCAACGGGAAUGCCUCAGGAGAGCUUGUGCAUUUUUUAUUAGAACAGUUUAAGAAGUUUGCUAUUCAUUAGAUAAACUGACUUGUGAAGUUCGUACCUGUUAGUAGCUUCAUUCUUUUGCUUUCAAGUAUUUAAGAAGUUGAAUAAUUUAUUUACAGCCG